UCUGGUCUGCAGGGGGAGUUCACCUUGAAGGUGAUGAGAACAUCUAAGUUCCCAAGGGGGCAAGGAUUUCCACUGGAAAUGCUGAUGCUUGGAGAGCCCCAGCUGUGACCUCAUCCCCUGGAGGAGACUAGAGAGGAUGCAGACCCGCCACCUCCGUUGUGCCCAUGGACACCACGGAUGGGUAAUAUAACACACUUCCGGGGCUGGCGGGAUACCUAUGCCAAGGUGAGCAGCACUGAACCUAGGAGGAAGGAACAGAAGUGCCAGUGGGCCUCUGGGAACCACACACUGCAGACCCCAGCCCCCACCCCCGGCCUCUGCCACAGCCAGGAUUCGUGUCCCAAGACCCUCCCAGCUCUGAUGUGAGCCUGCGGGGCCUGCCUGAGUGAGGAAGAGAAGCACGUGCAGACAGCCUCCACGCAGCUGUCAGAGGAUGGUCACACGUGAAGCUCGUCCCCCGCUGCCCUGUCAAGCCAUCCAAGGGGAGCUCUCUGCCCUCAGGAUAAGGUCCAAGCUCCUGGCCUGAUCAGCCCAUUCCACGCUCGAAGGCCACGGGAACGCUGGGAAGGAUGCCAGCUUUGCCAUGAGACAAACCUGAGCUUCUAAGACCAACGUGUCCAUUGCCUGACCGAGACCGCCGGCUGCCGACUUCACCUCUCUGAAGCUUGAGGUUCCUCCAUCACCUUUCCCAAGAUGUAACCCCAAGAUGUGACCCCUCUGCCUACCACUCCUCUUCCCCUGCCACCUCUAUUCGUUCCAAGGGGAUCAGUUUCUUCACGGCCUUCCUCACACGCCCCGUUUUCCCAUCUAGUCACACACCUGCCCCUCUCCUGAUUCCAAUUCCCCAGACUACCCUGUCUCUAGGGCCACGCCAAACUCCUUUCACGCCUUGACAUGAUCUAGCCCCUGCCUACCUCAAAAUCCACCCUGACACACAGGCUGCAGGAGCCCUGCUCUCCGACUCCAGCCCCCUGGCAUGUACCCCAUCCUGCCCACCUCCCACCCUUCACGCCUCAGUUUAGAUGCUGUCGUCUCCAAGAUCUCACAAGUGCGACACGCACACCUAACCCCAGCCCACAGCACCCCGUCCCGUGAGCGCCAAGCCCACUGCACUUGCCCUGCCUCCUAAGGCUUUGGUGCAAACACAUCCGUCUGUCUUCCCAGGGCCAGGGCCCUGUGGGAACCAGGCUCCCACAGUCUGUCCUGGCACGGAGCCGAGACUGAGUGGGCAUUUUUGAAAGGGAGAAGGGGAGAAUGGUGAGAAAGGAGUCCUUGGCCCAUGGAAAGCCCCAGGCGCAGUGGGGGCACCCAUUAGACGCAACGCACUAGUAUUUAACACAGGGUCACAGGAAGCAAAGUCAGCUUGCCAAGCCCCUGGAGGAAAGAGCUGACAAAGAAGGGAAAAGGAAACCGGGGGGUGGCUCGAUUCUGGGAAGCAGUGGAACUGGUAUUUGGGGGUCAGUUCCAGGGAUAGGCAGGGUAACCCAAAUGCCUUUGAAGGUAGUCCCCAGGGGCAGGGUACGAGUUGCCACAGAAUGGAAACCAGCUCUAGGCAGGCGGGAUCCUGGGGACAGGAAAGGCUGCGUCAGCCCCAUUUGGCCAAGGCAGGCCCAUGAGGAUGGAACUGGCCUUUGUCUACACCGCAAACAAGCAAGACACAGGGGUUCGAAGACAGAGUUUGCUGGUCUUUGCCCUGAACCACAGCAGGCAGCUGGGCUCCAGCAGGCCCCCAAGGCACCAAGAGGUCUGGUGAGGGCCGAGUCUUUGCUGCCAAGGCAAACACCUCCCGACAUUAAUUCUGGGAUUGAGGCUAUGCAGAGACUUUUCGUUCUCUGGAAGGAAAGAACAAUGUGCUGCUUGGGCCCUCUCUGGAAGGGUGGGCUCCCUCCCCGAGCACCUCCCUUGAGGAUAGCUGAUGAACUGGAGGUCAUUCUGAAGGACAGGACAUGCUGGGGACCAAAGCCAGGCCAGGUCAAAGGGCAAAGCAAAACUACUCUCCUCAAGUCUCUGGAGCCCUAAUGGAGCAGAGGGGGAGGCCUGCUCUGGGCAGUCCCUCAGGCAGAAAGGAGUCACGGGGAACCGUGUGAGCGCACCAUCGGACAGAGAAGGCUGUGCUCAGCACCGGUAAGCCUCUAGGCCCAGGAGGUGACAAGUGAAGCCAAAUGACUGCACCGGCAGAUGCUGCACUGAACGUCCACCAGGAGCUCAGGGCACAGGGUCACCUCAGAAUGCCUUUCUGCUGCAACACCAUCUGACGGGAAGGGUUUUUUCCUCUGACAAAGUAUUUAAAGCACACGAAAUCCACUGCUGAACUUGGCCAUGUCUACAUGGCAGCAUGGCAGGGAGCGCUGUGCCAGGGGAAACGAGGCUCGGGCAGAUGGAGCAGCAGCCUGGGGCUGGUGCCCUCUCUUCCAUAUGAAAACUGGGCCCUGUUCAGGUGGUGGUGUUUUGAUAUUAUUACUUAACUGCUCUUGAAUCCAUGCCUCUGGGACUGAGAAGAGGGCCCUGCCUCCUGGCGUAGCGCUGAGGCCUGGAUUCUGGCAUGACUACAGAGUAGGCAUCAAGGAACACCAGGUGGGGCUAGGCCAGGGAGGCACAGGGAAUCUUCCGGAAACCUUCGAGAGAGGGAAUGAUGAAGGCAAGCUGCCCUCCCUGCACCCCCACAAAGUGCACCUGGCCACUCCCCAGACUGUGGUCAUCUCAGAAGCACAAGCCUCUUAUGGCCUGAGCUCUAACCCAGCACCACCCUGAAGACCUGGCAAUAGCCCUGCUGCAGGGCACGUCCUGAGGAGGCCACCACCCAGAGCACCAAAAGGCCAGGGCUAUGACGGGAAAAAGAGUCUCCAGAAAGUGAAUGUGGGUGUCACACAGCAGCCGUGAAGUGGUUCUAAAAUUCUCUGCCUGGGGCCCAGGCCUGCUCCAUGAUGCCACAGCGCCCCUUUGACAGCAAAGCCCACACACCAUACUUCCCCGCCAACUCAGACCAGCCAGAGAGCCAGGCAUGGACAAAGCAGUCGAUCACAAGAUGUAUUGGGGAGAGGAGAGAUGGGGGCACCUUUAGGAGUGCCCCCGCAUGGGCAGCUGCCUGGCAGUUAGCUGGGAGCGCAGGAGGAGCAUAGAGUUCAUGGGGCUCCUCCAGCAAAGAUGAGCUCCAGGGCCGCCUGGAUGUCCCCACCGGUGGCCUGCAGGGCCCGCAGACUCAGCUCAUCGUCCUGGAUGCCCAUGUCACGCAGCUGCUGCAGCUGGGGUUGCCACUGGCUCUGUAGAAAGACAGGACCAGGCAGACACUGUUAGCUGGGCCCCAACGGAGACUCCUUUGGUUAGGUCUGUCCUUUCAGAGUGUGAGGAAGCCGAGUUCCCACGGCAAAGCUGUGAAAACACCCCCAAACAAGGGGCCUCCAGAAAAACGAGAAAGCUCAAGGGUUCAGAGAAUAAAAGUUUCUCAUUAAAAAAGGAAAAACUUUAACAGAAAGAUCAAAGAGAAAGCACAAAUGACUUACCUAAAUUUCAAACAAUUAAAUUACUUCCUGCGCCUAUGUGGGGACACACACACACACACACACACACACACACCCCACCACCACCACCACCACCACCCUCUCCCCGGAGGGGGACAAAUUUUCAAAUUAGUUCUGGCAAUGACCAUACUAGAGAGUGGAAGCCUGACUCUCACCCCUCACCCCACCACACGUAAGUGCUUUUAUUUCCCCGAGGAAUAGAAACAUGCAUGGACUGCUCAGAUUAACUGACAGGAACUCUUUUUUUGCACUCCUCUCUAUAUCUAGCCCCACCCUUUUUAACAAAAAUCCACACACCCUGGAGACCACUCCCUGCUAGUACAUGAAGUCCUGAGUGUGUGAUAUUCCAAGCUGCCGAAGUUCUGAAAUGGACCCUAACGGGGCACCUCCAAUCUCCUGCCAUGACAAAUAACGCUGCCUUCACAGAUGUCGUGUUCUACAUGUCCACACAUCUCUAGGAUCAAUUCUGAGAAAUGGGACUGCAAGGAAUUAUCCACCUUAAGAGUCACCGGAACUUCCUUUUCCUGAAAUAGUCUGUUUUUCUCUGGAGUUGUUGGUCCUAAGUUCCUAGAACGUCUACGUGUCAGGGAGAUGUUGGCCUUCGAUGAAUGCUACAGAUCUUGCCUCUUAUUUCUGUGUAUUUGGCUGGCCGGCUGGUUUGCUGAACAGAAAUUGUCACUUUCAUGAAUUCAAAAUUUAUUACUUUAU